UACGUAGGGUGCGAGCGUUGCCCGGAUUUAUUGGGCGUAAAGGGCGCGUAGGCGGCCACGCACGUCCGUUGUGAAAUCGCCCGGCUCAACUGGGCGGGGUCAGCGGAUACGGUGUGGCUCGAGCAAGCUAGGGGGCAAUGGAAUUCCCGGUGUAGUGGUGGAAUGCGUAGAUAUCGGGAGGAACACCAGUGGCGAAGGCGGUUGCCUGGAGCUUUGCUGACGCUGAGGCGCGAAAGCGUGGGGAGCGAACCGG
rnacentral:rRNA from 1 species